GCAAUGCAGUUAGUCCUCUGUGGACUAAGACCUCUGAGAUGGCUUCCUCGGCCCAUCUUUUCUAGUCAAGGCGACUCAAGUGUGCAAUAGAGCAAGACUGUUCCAAAGGAACCGAACCUGGGACAAAAGCUCAGAGGGCCCAUCGCUGAUCCCGUGGUCUCCUUAGCCACCGCCACACACUCUCUCAGGGUGACGGAGAGAGCUGUUUCCUCUGCACCUGCCACUUUGUUGUGGAAUGUGUGCACUUGAACCACUUGCUCUCCUUGGGGUGGGAGCUCAAGAGCUAUGGCUUCCUUACUUACUGCAUGAAGCCUGGAAAAAUAGCAGCCAUCUUGUGACCAACAGGUUCCGAGGAUGAGGGCGAAGGCCUACAUACACCUCAGGCUGGUGGAGCAGCAAGACAGACAGUGUGGUCCCUGACGGUAUUGAGGCACCAGCUCAGCCCUGACAUCUCUACCCAAUGACUUCUUUUUCUUGGGAUAAAUAAAACCCCAUUUGUUUAAGCCCA